rnacentral:rRNA from 1 species
UACAGAGGUCUCAAGCGUUGUUCGGAUUCAUUGGGCGUAAAGGGUGCGUAGGCGGCGCGGUAAGUCGGGUGUGAAAUCUUGGAGCUUAACUCCGAAACUGCAUUCGAUACUGCCGUGCUUGAGGACUGGAGAGGAGGCUGGAAUUCAUGGUGUAGCAGUGAAAUGCGUAGAGAUCAUGAGGAAGACCAGUGGCGAAGGCGGGUCUCUGGACAGUUCCUGACACUGAGACACGAAGGCCAGGGGAGCAAACGGG